CCAAUAGCGUAUAUUAAAGUUGUUGCAGUUAAAAAGCUCGUAGUUGAAUUUCGGGAUCAAAUUGUCGGUCGUGCCUCGGUACGAACUGGUAUUAUUGGUUCCUCCCUUCUGACGAACCGCGAUGUCAUUAAUUUGGUGUCGUGGGGAAUCAGGACUGUUACUUUGAAAAAAUUAGAGUGUUUAAAGCAGGCGCACGCUUGAAUACAUUAGCAUGGAAUAAUGAAAUAGGACGUUUGAUUCUAUUUUGUUGGUUUCUAGGAUUGACGUAAUGAUUAAUAGGGAUAGUUGGGGGCAUUAGUAUUCAAUUGUCAGAGGUGAAAUUCUUGGAUUUAUUGAAGACUAACUACUGCGAAAGCAUUUGCCAAGGAUGUUUUCAUUAAUCAAGAACGAAAGUUAGGGGAUCGAAGACGAUCAGAUACCGUCGUAGUCUUAACCAUAAACUAUGCCGACUAGGGAUCGGAUGAUGUUAAUUUUUUAAUGACUCAUUCGGCGCCUUACG
rnacentral:rRNA from 1 species